UACGAGAGCCUCGAGCGUUAUCCGGAAUUAUUGGGCGUAAAGGGUGCGUAGGUUGCUGCAUUAGUCUUCUGUCAAAGCCCCGAGCUUAACUUGGGAUAUGCGGAGGAAACGGCGCAGCUUGAAAGUGCGAGAGGCGUACGGAACUCAUGGUGUAGGGGUGAAAUCCGUUGAUAUCAUGGGGAACACCAAAUGCGAAGGCAGUACGCUGGCGCAUAUUUGACACUGAAGCACGAAAGCGUGGGUAGCGAAUGGG
rnacentral:rRNA from 1 species